GAAUAAUAUUAAAUAUAAAUGAAUGUUAUGUAAAAACAUGUUAAAUAUUAUAUAAAAUGUGCAACUCAUGGAAUUGGCUAGACUAAUGAAGAAUUUUGCAUUGAUUAAUAAUUUAAUUGUUGACGAUAAGACAAUCUCGCAAAAUCAUUAAUAUUAAUGAAACGGUUUUAUCAAUUUCCUACAUACCUCAUCUAAAUCGUUGUUUAUACUUAAGAGGACGUGUUAUCUUUCGUACUUUAAAGAUUGCAAUUUCUCA